CUUCAAGGCAGAAAUUCCGCUAGUGGGUUCUCUCUCUCUCUCGGCUUGUCUCUCUUCAAGCAAGGUACAAUCUUUAACAGUGGCUUUCAUCCAUCUCCACCAUCAGCCAAAAAUGUUGUAGCAGCAGCAGCAGCAGUAGGAGGCUUCUCCACCUCCACCGUCAGCAGCUACAACUCUGCCUCCAAGGUUUACGGUUCUCCCAAAACCAAAGACUACAACAAGAUUAAAAGGUUUUGUUUAGAUGAAAACUUCCGUAUUGUAAUUGUUUGAAAUGGAUAUAAUUAUGUUUUUGUAGGAGGGAAUGAAGCUUUAAAGUCUUGAUUU